UACGUAGGUGGCAAGCGUUAUCCGGAAUUAUUGGGCGUAAAGAGCGCGCAGGUGGUUAAUUAAGUCUGAUGUGAAAGCCCACGGCCUAACCGUGGAGGGUCAUUGGAAACUGGUUGACUUGAGUGCAGAAGAGGGAAGUGGAAUUCCAUGUGUAGCGGUGAAAUGCGUAGAGAUAUGGAGGAACACCAGUGGCGAAGGCGGCUUCCUGGUCUGCAACUGACACUGAGGCGCGAAAGCGUGGGGAGCAAACAGG
rnacentral:rRNA from 1 species